rnacentral:rRNA from 1 species
GGAAAAGUUCCUUCGGGAACCUAGUACAGUGGCGCACGGGUGAGUAACACGUAGGUGACCUACCUUCAGCUGGGGAACAACACCGGGAAACCGGAGCUAAUUCCGCAUACGUCUUCCGGUCUACGGACCGGAAGGGAAAGGUGGCCUCUCCUUGGAAGCUAUCGGCGGAAGAUGGGCCUGCGCGUCAUUAGCUAGUUGGUGAGGUAAUGGCUCACCAAGGCUACGAUGACUAGCUGAUCUGAGAGGAUGAUCAGCCACACUGGAACUGAAACACGGUCCAGACUCCUACGGGAGGCAGCAGUGGGGAAUCUUGCGCAAUGGGCGAAAGCCUGACGCAGCAACGCCGCGUGAGUGACGAAGGCCUUCGGGUCGUAAAGCUCUGUCGAGAGGGACGAACCAUUGGUGGGAACAAUACCUCACCGAUUUGACGGUACCUCCAAAGGAAGCACCGGCUAACUCCGUGCCAGCAGCCGCGGUAAUACGGAGGGUGCAAGCGUUGUUCGGAAUUACUGGGCGUAAAGGGCGUGUAGGCGGAUCGAGAAGUCGGGUGUGAAAUCCCUGGGCUCAACCCAGGAAGUGCGCCCGAAACCAUCGAUCUCGAGAUUCGGAGGGGAGCGGGGAAUUCCCAGUGUAGAGGUGAAAUUCGUAGAUAUUGGGAAGAACACCGGCGCCGAAGGGGCCGCUCUGGACGAAUACUGACGCUAAGACGCGAAAGC